GCUUUUCAAAUGUAUCUAAUAGAAUUGGAACGAUACGGAGAAGAUUAGCAUGGCCCUUGUGCAAGGAUGACAUGCACAAAUUAAAGAAUGGUCCAAAUUUUU